UAAACUGAUGGCAGCAGUGUAUGGGAGUC
rnacentral:piRNA from 1 species